rnacentral:rRNA from 1 species
GACGAACGCUGGCGGCGGGCUUAACACAUGCAAGUCGAACGGAAAGGCCCUGCUUUUGUGGGGUGCUCGAGUGGCGAACGGGUGAGUAACACGUGAGUAACCUGCCCUUGACUUUGGGAUAACUUCAGGAAACUGGGGCUAAUACCGGAUAGGAGCUCCUGCUGCGUGGUGGGGGGUGGAAAUUUUCGGCGGUUGGGGAUGGACGCGCGGCUUAUCAGCUUGUUGGUGGGGUAGUGGUUUACCAAGCCAUUGACGGGUAGCCGGCCUGAGAGGGUGACCGGCCACAUUGGGACUGAGAUACGGCCCAGACUGCUACGGGAGGCAGCGGUGGGGAAUAUUGCACAAUGGGCGGAAGCCUGAUGCAGCAACGCCGCGUGCGGGAUGACGGCCUUCGGGUUGUAAACCGCUUUCGCCUGUGACGCAGCGUGAGUGACGGUAAUGGGUAAAGAAGCACCGGCUAACUACGUG